rnacentral:rRNA from 1 species
CAGCAGUCGCCGCGGUAAUACGUAGGUGGCAAGCGUUGUCCGGAAUUAUUGGGCGUAAAGGGCUCGCAGGCGGUUUCUUAAGUCUGAUGUGAAAGCCCCCGGCUCAACCGGGGAGGGUCAUUGGAAACUGGGAAACUUGAGUGCAGAAGAGGAGAGUGGAAUUCCACGUGUAGCGGUGAAAUGCGUAGAGAUGUGGAGGAACACCAGUGGCGAAGGCGACUCUCUGGUCUGUAACUGACGCUGAGGAGCGAAAGCGUGGGGAGCGAACAGGAUUAGAUACCCCCGUAGUCCCUGUCUCUUAUAC